AGCUUGUAGCCUUGAAUAAAUUCCUUAUCACCAGGUGUGAACGUCAUUUGGAGAGAAGUGUUUUAGUACCAGUCACAUUUCUUGCUAGGAUACUGAGCAGGGUAAGUGCUAAAUAGCUGUGAAACCUAAACCAACUGUUUUUUCCCCUCUUACCCUUUUAGCACCCUGGUGAUAGUUGUAGGUACAGGUGAAUGGCCAUUGCCAAAGUUCAGGGAUGUCUGCAGAUGACUUACUUUCCCCUUGUGGCUGGGAAGACAGUAGUGAAAAAUGAAGAGAUUGGAAUAAAGCUGGAAAAGGUAUGCUGGUGACAUAGGAGCAUGAAUCCCUACAGCCUCUGGAAUCCUGCAGGUCUGUACUGACUGCUCAGAAAGCUUCAUUUUCUGGGCUUGCUAAAGCUUGCAGUUUCUGAAGUAAACAAGUAAACAAGCUUUAGCCUGC